GGUGUUGUAGACUAACUGGUUAGGUCGGCUCCAUGGAAUGGAGGAGAUGCGAGUUCGAAUCCCACUGGCACCC
rnacentral:tRNA from 1 species